CCUACGGGGCGCAGCAGUAGGGAAUCUUCCACAAUGGACGAAAGUCUGAUGGAGCAACGCCGCGUGAGUGAAGAAGGGUUUCGGCUCGUAAAACUCUGUUGGUAGAGAAGAACAAUAGAGGUAGUAACUGGCCUUUCUUUGACGGUAAUUAAUUAGAAAGUCACGGCUAACUACGUGCCAGCAGCCGCGGUAAUACGUAGGUGGCAAGCGUUGUCCGGAUUUAUUGGGCGUAAAGCGAGUGCAGGCGGUUCCAUAAGUCUGAUGUGAAAACCCUCGGCUCAACCGGGGGAUUUC
rnacentral:rRNA from 1 species